GCCUACGGGAGGCAGCAGUGGGGAAUAUUGCACAAUGGGCGCAAGCCUGAUGCAGCGACGCCGCGUGAGGGAUGGAGGCCUUGGUUGUAAACCUCUUUCAGCAGGGACGAAGCGUAAGUGACGGUACCUGCAGAAGAAGCACCGGCUAACUACGUGCCAGCAGCCGCGGUC
rnacentral:rRNA from 1 species